ACUGACUGGCUCAACGUGUGCCUACCCUACGCCGGCAGGCGCGGGUAACCCGUUGAACCCCAUUCUUGUUGGGGAUCGGGGAUUGCAAUUAUUCCCCAUGAAC
rnacentral:ncRNA from 1 species